AGUGAACGCUGGCGGUAGGCCUAACACAUGCAAGUCGAACGGCAGCACAGAGGAGCUUGCUCCUUGGGUGGCGAGUGGCGGACGGGUGAGGAAUACAUCGGAAUCUACUCUGUCGUGGGGGAUAACGUAGGGAAACUUACGCUAAUACCGCAUACGACCUACGGGUGAAAGCAGGGGACCUUCGGGCCUUGCGCGAUUGAAUGAGCCGAUGUCGGAUUAGCUAGUUGGCGGGGUAAAGGCCCACCAAGGCGACGAUCCGUAGCUGGUCUGAGAGGAGGCUCAGCCACACUGGAACUGAGACACGGUCCAGACUCCUACGGGAGGCAGCAGUGGGGAAUAUUGGACAAUGGGCGCGAGCCUGAUCCAGCCAUACCGCGUGGGUGAAGAAGGCCUUCGGGUUGUAAAGCCCUUUUGUUGGGAAAGAAAUCCAGCUGGCUAAUACCCGGUUGGGAUGACGGUACCCAAAGAAUAAGCACCGGCGAACUUCGUGCCAGCCGCCGCGUAAG
rnacentral:rRNA from 1 species